AACGAACGCUGGCGGCAUGCCUAACACAUGCAAGUCGAACGAGAUCUUCGGGUCUAGUGGCGCACGGGUGCGUAACGCGUGGGAAUCUGCCCUUUGGUUCGGAAUAACAGUUGGAAACGACUGCUAAUACCGGAUGAUGACGAAAGUCCAAAGAUUUAUCGCCAGAGGAUGAGCCCGCGUAGGAUUAGCUAGUUGGUGUGGUAAAGGCGCACCUAGGCGACGAUCCUUAGCUGGUCUGAGAGGAUGAUCAGCCACACUGGGACUGAGACACGGCCCAGACUCCUACGGGAGGCAGCAGUGGGGAAUAUUGGACAAUGGGCGAAAGCCUGAUCCAGCAAUGCCGCGUGAGUGAUGAAGGCCUUAGGGUUGUAAAGCUCUUUUACCCGGGAUGAUAAUGACAGUACCGGGAGAAUAAGCCCCGGCUAACUCCGUGCCAGCAGCCGCGGUAA
rnacentral:rRNA from 1 species